rnacentral:rRNA from 1 species
UCUAAGCAUCAGGUAACAUCAAAUCGUACCCCAAACCGACACAGGUGGUCAGGUAGAGAAUACCAAGGCGCUUGAGAGAACUCGGGUGAAGGAACUAGGCAAAAUGGUGCCGUAACUUCGGGAGAAGGCACGCUGAC